AUACGGAGGGUGCGAGCGUUGUUCGGAAUUAUUGGGCGUAAAGCGCGUGUAGGCGGUUUGUUAAGUCUGAUGUGAAAGCCCCGGGCUCAACCUGGGAAGUGCAUUGGAUACUGGCAGACUUGAAUACGGGAGAGGGCAGUGGAAUUCCUGGUGUAGGAGUGAAAUCCGUAGAUAUCAGGAGGAACACCGGUGGCGAAGGCGGCCCCCUGGACAAAGACUGACGCUCAGGUGCGAAAGCGUGGGGAGC
rnacentral:rRNA from 1 species